UGCAUCGAUGAAGAACGCAGCGAAAUGCGAUACGUAGUGUGAAUUGCAGAAUUCCGCGAAUCAUCGAGUCUUUGAACGCAAGUUGCGCCCGAGGCUUGUCCGAGGGCAUUUCCGCUAGAGCGUCACCGCGCCCCCCACCGAUCCACACUCCCGCCGCGAGGCGCUGGUUUGCUCAGGGUCGAGUGGAAGUGGCCGUCCCGGCGCGAGAAGGCUAAGGGUCGGCUGAAAUGGAUGGAAUUGGGCCGCCGUGGUGACACAGUCCGCGAUCGGGUGAUUUUGUCGCGAGCCUCCCGAGGUUCGCCGUGAAUUUUUCUAAGUGCGUGGCUGCGUCCCCCAGUUGGCUUUGGUUACCUCGAGCAGGUCGAGCAGCGCCCCCGCGGCGCGCGUCACGCAUCAGACCUCUAAUCGGAAAAGACUACCCGCUGAGUUUAAGCAUAUCAAUAAGCGGA
rnacentral:rRNA from 1 species